rnacentral:rRNA from 1 species
AAUGAACGUUGGCGGCGUGGAUUAGGCAUGCAAGUCGAACGAAUCCCAGUGGGGGUAACUCUGCUGGGGGAAGUGGCAAAAGGGGCAGUAAGGCAUAGGUAACCUACCCUGGAGUUGGGCAUAGCCGUUCUAACGAACGGGUAAUUCCCGAUGGCCCAGCGAGUGGACAUCCAUUUGCUGGUAAAGAGUUUCGCUCUGGGAGGGGCCUAUGUGCUAUUAGCUUGUUGGCGGGGUAACGGCCCACCAAGGCUAAGAUGGCUAGCGGGUGUGAGAGCACGACCCGCGCCACUGGCACUGAGACACUGGCCAGACACCUACGGGUGGCUGCAGUCGAGGAUCUUCGUCAAUGGGGGAAACCCUGAACGAGCGACGCCGCGUGCGCGAUGAAGGCCUUCGGGUUGUAAAGCGCGAAAGUGGGGACGAAAGCCGAAAGGUUUGACUGAUCCACAGUAAGCUCGGGCUAAGUUCGUGCCAGCCGCCGCAGUAACAC